AAACCAACAGGGAUUGCCCCAGUAACGGCGAGUGAAGCGGCAACAGCUCAAAUUUGAAAUCUGGCGCCUUCAGCGUCCGAGUUGUACUUUGCAGAGGGUGGUCCAGACAACGGGCCGGUCCAAGUUCCUUGGAACAGGAUACCGCAGAGGGUGAGAGUCCCGUAUCCGACCGGUGCCAGCGUCGCUGUGAUCGCCCCUCGACGAGUCGAGUUGUUUGGGAAUGCAGCUCUAAGUGGGUGGUAAAUUCCAUCUAAGGCUAAAUACCGGCCAGAGACCGAUAGCGAACAAGUAGAGUGAUCGAAAGAUGAAAAGCACUUUGAAAAGAGAGUCAAACAGUACGUGAAAUUGUUGAAAGGGAAGCGUAUGCGACCAGACUUGACCGCGGUGGCACUCCGCCCGCCUUCUGGCGGGUGUACUCCGCCGCGGCCAGGCCAGCAUCGGCCCUGGCGGCGGGACAAAGGCGGCGGGAACGUGGCCCCCCUCGGGGGGUGUUAUAGCCCGCCGUGUAAUGCCGCCAGCCGGGGCCGAGGACCGCGCCUUCGGGCAAGGAUGCUGGCGUAAUGGCCCCAUACGGC
rnacentral:rRNA from 1 species